CUUUAUUUCCUCAAUUGGAGAGGUAAUGUCUUUUACAUUGGGAAUAAGGAAAAAUGUUUUAUUUGUGCCCAAGAAGGACACAAAAUGAGCGACUGUCCCAGGAAAAAGAUUCAACGCCCUAAUGUGGACGAGGAGAUGACUUAUGCUGGAGUGGUGAAGGUGAAUACAACGGUGGAUAAGGAAAAUGAAACGGAACUUUUGGAGAUCGAGGUAUUAGAAACGGAAAGCAUUCAAUCGGAAGAAGUAUAUUCGGAAAUGCAGGAAGUUGAGGAAGUAGUGGAUCCCAAGCCUGAACCGGUACCGAUAAGAUUUUGGAGGUCCAAUGGGAAAACAUAUACGCAGUAUGCAGGGAUUGCAAAGAUUAGAGUGGAAGACGAAACGGAACCGCAGAAAAAACGGGACUUGGAGGCCAAGGCAUCAAGGAGUUUAACGCCAUCCAAAGAAAAAAAGCACAGAAAUUCUUCCCGACUAUCUUCCAUCGGUUCAAAGUCCGAUAUAUCUGAUUAGCUCACCUGUUAGUUUUAUUAUUGUUUUUUGUUUUAUUAAAUUGUAUAAAAACAAUAUAAUUUAAAAGACAAUUGGCUCCGUAAAGUGUUAUACACGUAUGAGCCCAAUAAAUAAACAAUUAGAAAAAAAAA